rnacentral:rRNA from 1 species
GAUGAACGCUGGCGGCGUGCCUAAUACAUGCAAGUCGUGCGAACAGAUGAGGAGCUUGCUCCUCUGACGUUAGCGGCGGACGGGUGAGUAACACGUGGAUAACCUACCUAUAAGACUGGGAUAACUUCGGGAAACCGGAGCUAAUACCGGAUAAUAUAUUGAACCGCAUGGUUCAAUAGUGAAAGACGGUUUUGCUGUCUCUUAUAGAUGGAUCCGCGCCGCAUUAGCUAGUUGGUAAGGUAACGGCUUACCAAGGCAACGAUGCGUAGCCGACCUGAGAGGGUGAUCGGCCACACUGGAACUGAGACACGGUCCAGACUCCUACGGGAGGCAGCAGUAGGGAAUCUUCCGCAAUGGGCGAAAGCCUGACGGAGCAACGCCGCGUGAGUGAUGAAGGUCUUCGGAUCGUAAAACUCUGUUAUUAGGGAAGAACAAAUGUGUAAGUAACUAUGCACGUCUUGACGGUACCUAAUCAGAAAGCCACGGCUAACUACGUG